rnacentral:rRNA from 1 species
CCUACGGGAGGCAGCAGUAGGGAAUUUUCCACAAUGGACGAAAGUCUGAUGGAGCAACGCCGCGUGUGUGAUGAAGGGUUUCGGCUCGUAAAACACUGUUGUACGAGAAGAAUGACAUUGAGAGUAACUGUUCAGUGUGUGACGGUAUCUUACCAGAAAGGAACGGCUCAAUACGUGCCAGCAGCCGCGGUAACACGUAUGUUCCAAGCGUUAUCCGGAUGUAUUGGGCGUAAAGCGAGCGCAGACGGUUGGUUAAGUCCGAAGUGAAAGCCCACAGCUUAACUGUGGAGGUGCUUUGGAAACUGGAUAACUGGAGUGCAGUAGAGGAGAGGGGAACUCCAUGUGUAGCGGUGAAAUGCGUAGAUAUAGGGAAGAACGCCAGUGGCGAAGGCGGCUCUCUGGACUGUAAAUGACGUUGAGGCUCGAAAGUGUGGGUAGCAAACAGGAUUAGAUACCCGAGUAGUC